rnacentral:rRNA from 1 species
ACCCAAUAGAUACCCUGGUAGUCCACGCCGUAAACUAUGGGUGCUAGCCGUCGGGGAGCAUGCUCUUCGGUGGCGCAGCAAACGCAUUAAGCACCCGCCUGGGAGUACGGUCGCAAGAUUAAACUACAAGGAAUUGACGGGGCCCGGCACAAGCGGUGGAGCAUGUGGUUUAAUUCGAGGCAACGCGAAGAACCUUACCAGCCCUUCGACAUCCCGACUCGGGGGUACCGAGAGAUGGACCUCUUCAAUUGGUCGGUGACGGUGCUGCAUGGCUGUCGUCAGCUCGUGUCGUGAGAUGUUGGGUUAAGUCCCGCAACGAGCGCAACCC